UGAGUACGAGCUGCUACGGCAGCGAAGUGGGUGAUGUCAAGCUUCCAAGAAAAGCCCUAUACCCGUUAAGGCAUGAUGGCCUGUACCCGAAACCGACACAGGUGGGGUGGUAGAGAAUACCGAGGGGCGCGAGGUAACUCUCUCUAAGGAACUCGGCAAAAUGGCCCCGUAACUUCGGGAGAAGGGGUGCCACCGCAAGGUGGUCGCAGUGAAGAGGCCCAGGCGACUGUUUACCAAAAACACAGGUCUCCGCUAAGUCGCAAGACGAUGUAUGGGGGCUGACGCCUGCCCAGUGCCGGAAGGUUAAGGAAGCUGGUCAGCGCAAGCGAAGCUGGCGACUGAAGCCCCGGUGAACGGCGGCCGUAGCUAUAACGGUCCUAAGGUAGCGAAAUUCCUUGUCGGGUAAGUUCCGACCCGCACGAAAGGCGUAACGAUCUGGGCGCUGUCUCGGAGAGAGGCUCGGCGAAAUUGAAUUGUCUGUGAAGAUGCGGACUACGUGCACCCGGACAGAAAGACCCUAUGAAGCUUUACUGUAGCUUGGUAUUGUGCCCGGGCUCUGAAUGCGCAGGAUAGGUGGGAGGCUUUGAUCCAUUGCUUGUGGGUGAUGGUGAGCCACUGGUGAGAUACCACUCUUUCAGAGCUAGGGUUCUAACGGUCACCCGUUAUCCGGGGACCGGACAGUAUCAGGUGGGCAGUUUGACUUGGGCGGUCGCCUCCUAAAAGGUAACGGAGGCGCGCAAAGGUUCCCUCAGGCUGGUUGGAAAUCAGCCGACGAGUGUAAAGGCAGAAGGGAGCUUGACUGUGAGACCUACAAGUCGAACAGGGACGAAAGUCGGCCUUAGUGAUCCGACGGUUCUGAGUGGAAGGGCCGUCGCUCAACGGAUAAAAGUUACUCUAGGAUAACAGGCUGAUCUCCCCCAAGAGUUCACAUCGACGGGGAGGUUUGGCACCUCGAUGUCGGCUCAUCGCAACCUGGGGCUGAAGUCGGUCCCAAGGGUUGGGCUGUUCGCCCAUUAAAGCGGUACGCGAGCUGGGUUCAGAACGUCGUGAGACAGUUCGGUCCAUAUCCGGUGCACGCGCAGGAACAUUGAGAGGAUUUCUCCCUAGUACGAGAGGACCGGGAGGAACGCACCUCUGGUGUACCAGUUAUCGUGCCAACGGUAAACGCUGGGUAGCCAUGUGCGGAGUGGAUAACCGCUGAAAGCAUCUAAGUGGGAAGCCCACCUCAAGAUGAGUGUUCCCAUGGCAUAAGCCAGUAAGGUCACGGGAAGAACACCCGUUGAUAGGCUCUACGUGGAAGCGUGGCAACACGUGAAGCGGAGGAGUACUAAUAGACCGAGGGCUUGACC
rnacentral:rRNA from 1 species